GCUGAUACAGCAUAGACGAUAUAUGCCGAUUCGGAGAGAAAAAGCCCCAUGUUGCUGCUGGUUACAGCUGUUGCGCGCAGACCCUGUCCGACAGAUAUGUAUUAUAAGUGCGAGAUGCGAAAAAUGCUACUGUUCUUCGGGAUGUUUCUGAAGACUUCGCCGCCGGAAUCAUCACUGCAGUAGCUCCUGUCAUCCUGCGAGAUGAUAUUCAAAUCUUCAGGAUAAAGCACGCUCAUCAUUUUUAUCGUUAACAAGGUGGUAGAAAUUUUCAACGUAAGGGCGAGAUUUAUCCUUCUUCAUCGGAAAACUUUCCAAAGGCUUCCAAAGGCCACUCACGUUUCUCUCAUGAAUCUUUUAUUAUCAUCAAACUUCGUACUUGGAUAAUCAC